CCUAGUAACUGCGAGUGAAGCGGGAAAAGCUCAAAUUUAAAAUCUGGUGGUCCUCUGGCCAUCCGAGUUGUAAUCUAGAGAAGUGUUACCCGCGUUGGACCGUGUACAAGUCUCCUGGAAUGGAGCGUCAUAGAGGGUGAGAAUCCCGUCUUUGACACGGACUACCAAGGCUUUGUGGUGCGCUCUCAACGAGUCGAGUUGUUUGGGAAUGCAGCUCAAAAUGGGUGGUAAAUUCCAUCUAAAGCUAAAUACAGGCGAGAGACCGAUAGCGAACAAGUACCGUGAGGGAAAGAUGAAAAGAACUUUGGAAAGAGAGUUAAACAGUACGUGAAAUUGCUGAAAGGGAAACGCUGGAAGUCAGUCGCGUUGGCUAGGAAUCAACCUUACUCUUUUGUAGGGCUUACUUCUUAGUUGACGGGCCAACAUCAAUUUUGAUUGCUGGAAAAAGGCUUAGGGAAUGUGGCACCYUCGGGUGUGUUAUAGCCCUAGGUCGUAUACAGUGAUUGGGAUUGAGGAACGCAGCACGCCGAAAGGUUGGGUUUCGACCACACUCGUGCUUCGGAUGUUGGCAUAAUGGCUUUCAUCGACCCGUCUUGAAACACGGACCAAGGAGUCUAACAUGCCUGCGAGUGUUUGAGUGGAAAACUCGAGCGCAUAAUGAAAGUAAUAGUUGAGAUCUCUGUCAUGGAGAGCAUCGACGCCCGGACCUGAUGUUUACUGACGGUUCUGCGGUAGAGCAUGUAUGUUGGGACCCGAAAGAUGGUGAACUAUGCCUGAAUAGGGUGAAGCCAGAGGAAACUCUGGUGGAGGCUCGUAGCGAUUCUGACGUGCAAAUCGAUCGUCAAAUUUGGGUAUAGG
rnacentral:rRNA from 1 species